rnacentral:rRNA from 1 species
UACGUAGGCAGCGAGCGUUGUUCGGAGUUACUGGGCGUAAAGGGUGUGUAGGCGGUUGUUUAAGUUUGGUGUGAAAUCUCCCGGCUCAACUGGGAGGUGCGCCGAAUACUGAAUGACUUGGAGUGCGGGAGAGGAGAGUGGAAUUCCUGGUGUAGCGGUGAAAUGCGUAGAUAUCAGGAGGAACACCGGUGGUGUAGACGGCUCUCUGGACCGUAACUGACGCUGAGACACGAAAGCGUGGGUAGCAAACAGG